AACGUAGGAGGCAAGCGUUAUCCGGAUUCACUGGGCGUAAAGCGCGUGUAGGUGGUUCGUUAAGUCGCUGGUGAAAGCCCCUGGCUCAACUGGGGGAGGUCUGGCGAAACUGGCGGACUUGAGGGUCCGAGAGGAAGGUGGAAUUCCCGGUGUAGCGGUGGAAUGCGUAGAGAUCGGGAGGAACACCAGUGGCGAAGGCGGCCUUCUGGCGGGCUUCUGACACUGAGACGCGAAAGCGUGGGGAGCAAACGGG
rnacentral:rRNA from 1 species